rnacentral:rRNA from 1 species
CCCUUAGAUGUUCUGGGCUGCACCCGUGCUACACUGGCAGGUUCAGCGAGCUUCAUGCCCUGAUCUGAAAGGAAUGGGAAAUCUUUUCAAAACCUGCCGUGCUUGGGAUAGAUGUUUGCAAUUAUUCAUCUUCAACGAGGAUUGCCUUGUAAGCGCACGUCAUCAGCGUGCAUUGAAUACGACCCUGUAUUCUGUACACACCGCCCGUCGCUCCUACCGAUUGAAGUUUUCGGUGAGUUGACAGGAGGAUUUUUUUGAAACUGGUUCGCCAGUGGAUUUUAGAUCCAAAUACCAACGAAUCGAUGGCUUUAGAGGAAGGAGAAGUCGUAACA